AUACAUUGUCUUGCUUUUAAUAGCCUCCCGGAUCCACUCUUGGAGGUUCUCAUGACUGACUGUUCCCAAAAUAAUACCCAGAGCAGCUUUUUCCAACUCUGAAUUGCUGAAUCUUGCUGCCUCCCAAUCAGCCGCUGGCUGCCACUGAGCCCUGGUAAUCCCAGGGUCCCCCAAGCCGAAGGUGACCCAACAGGGAGGUUUCCAAGGCAUUUGGAGAGAUCCCCAGACGAUCCCUGCCAGCUCACAGAACUGCUGACAGCAAGUUUCCAGGUCACACGGUGGAAGAGCCCAGAAUCGAACCCUUAAAGAGACAGGACGUCUUCUCCACUUCUGCUUCCUGCACAAAUGGGGACUUGAUGCUACGAGCUCAAACAGCCAUUCUGGACCAUUUUAGAAACUGUGUUAAAGAAGACAGAGCUGCUAGACAGAAGGUCGCUAAGGAUUCCUUGUACGAAGACAUCAAGUACAGAAACAUUGAGUGACAUGAUCAGAAGUGCACUUCAGAAAGAUGGCCACAGGUGGAAUAAAGAGUCGGGCUCCAGAGCCAGCUGGCCUGGGUACAAAUCCCAGCUCUGUCUCUCCCUAACUUUGUCACCAUAGGCAAAUUACUUAGCCUCUCUCUACUUCAGUUUCCUCAUCUGCAAAAUGGGGGUAAUACUACCCAACUGGAGAGCUGUUGUGAGGAGUUAGCACAUCUAAGGGUGUUUAAAAUAGCAUCUGGUACAUAUUAGGGAGCCUUAGGUUCCAGGAGUGCAGCUGUAGGAGGACUCCUCUUACCUGGGGCCUUUGAUCUUGAUGAAAAGGACACUGGAACCUCCCUCUCCCAGUAGGCACUGGCAGGUACCUGGGAGACUAGAAGGUGUCCAGAGGCAGCACCAAGCCUUCACUUGCAGUCAAAGGAAAUGGGCCACGAGAGAGCAGACCUGGAUGAGGCACUAACCACAAAUCGCACCACGAGGCCCUGGGCACUGUAUCUAGAGUGGGGUGCGGCCCAGGCCACAGGGCAGAGAGCCCCCUUGGCACAGUCCAGCCCAGAAGCCAUGCCGGGGAGCCUCACGAGGAAAUGGGCAGGGGCCCUGCUGGGAGAAGCAUGCCCCCCUGCCCCCCGCAGCUGGUUCCCCAGGAGAUAAGAAGCCCAAACUUCCUGAGGAUAUGCUCUGGACCUUCCCGCCGGCUCCUCCGGGCUUGUCAAAAUAUUUCUGUGUAGAGCCAUCCCUGUUUUUCCAUUAAUAAAAGUAUUUUUGGG